rnacentral:rRNA from 1 species
AAAGCUACAUCGUCAACGUUAUAUUUUGAUAGUUUGACGGUUAAUGCUGGUAAUGGUGGUUUUCUUCAUUGCAUUCAGAUGGAUACAUCUGUCAACGCCGCUAAUCAGGUUGUUUCUGUUGGUGCUGAUAUUGCUUUUGAUGCCGACCCUAAAUUUUUUGCCUGUUUGGUUCGCUUUGAGUCUUCUUCGGUUCCGACUACCCUCCCGACUGCCUAUGAUGUUUAUCCUUUGGAUGGUCGCCAUGAUGGUGGUUAUUAUACCGUCAAGGACUGUGUGACUAUUGACGUCCUUCCCCGUACGCCGGGCAAUAAUGUUUAUGUUGGUUUCAUGGUGUGGUCUAACUUUACCGCUACUAAAUGCCGCGGAUUGGUUUCGCUGAAUCAGGUUAUU